rnacentral:rRNA from 1 species
AAAACUAGCCUGUCCCAUGGGUAUGAAACCCAUUUGAGCGAGAGUAGUACUAGGUUGGGUGACCUCCUGGGAAGUCCUCGUGAAAGGGUUUC